AGGCGCCCCAAGAGGUCGUUUCUACAUUAAAAGUACAUAGUAAAAAGUAACCAUUUUCCCUAAAGGAGAAUCCUGGUCUAUGAGUUUUAUGUCAUUUCUGGUGAAGUCUAAAGGGGAUGUUCUCUCCCAGGACGAGCCUGGGGAUUGAGGAGAUCGUUGAAUAAGGCUAGAGGAGAGAGGGAUGAAUUCACCUUCCAACCAGGUCCUGGAAGAAGCAAUCCCUGAUUCUCAUCCCACAUAUGGAAUGACCGCCUUACAGCGCUUUCUGGAGAACAGAAGGAAAAUCAAUUCUGUCAGGCAAACACCACCAUGACAGACCAACCUGGUCCCAGCAAGCAGGCAUACGCUUUGUGUGAGUCAAGCUGCAGGACAUAAGCCACCCAUUGUGCCGAUCUACAGAAUCCCAACUUCUUCCCAGUUUCUGCACAUGGACCCAAGAUAAACUGAAUGAGGAGAGAAGAUGGAAUAGAAAACUGAAAGGGUGCUUUCCAGCAGCCGACUGAUGCUUUCCUGCUGAGUGGUCCUUUCUCCAAGCAAAAUGGAUCAUUGAGACAUUUUGUCCUCUAAGAGAUCCUCUACCCCUAGCUCAUAAAUCAGAGGAGGAGGUGGAUUUGCAGACAUAGUAGAGGGUUUAUAUGAAGCAGAAACCCAGACGAGAGAUGAGAGAUGGCACGAAGGCUCAAAUGGAAGAGAUGAUUCACCUUGAACCUCUCCCACCAAAAUGGGGGGAAAGCAACAGGGACAGUCAAUGGCACAAGGAGCAGAAGAAGGAAAACUGUUCCUGCUCCCAUUCCUGGAAGGUUGGAAAUCCCAUGAGCCAGUCUUUUCCCCUUUCAACUCAGCCUUGGUACAUCCCAUGGCAAGAGAAUGUGGUAGUUAAGAGUCUGCCCUGAAGAGUCAGGCUCCUGAAAUACAUAUCCUCACUAGUUACAGGGCUUUCAGGCAAGUUUGCCUGGUGCUUUGCAUUUGUAAAGUGAGAAGAAUAACAAUAACACCUCCCUUGUAGAGCUGAUGGGCGAAUGAAAUGAGAAAAUGUAGGAAGUGCAUAGAACAGUGACUGAAAUACUUUCAGUGCUCAGUAAAAGUCAGCUAUUAUUAUGGUAACACAAAUGUCCUCCUAAAAAUCCAGACUGGAGUGGACACAUCUAAGAUACAGAGCAAAUCAGUUGGGCAGUAGAGUAGGAUUAAGGGAUGGAGACCCUCCUUGGCUAUUUAAAUACACAGAGGAAGCUGCUUAGCCUGUCCAAGGCUCAGUGUCUUCAUCCAUAAACUAGAGGUGAUUAUACUUCAUGGAGCUCUUUUGAGGAUAAAAGACAGUAGCAUUUAUAAAAAGAACAGCAUAGUGGUGCUGUUAAGUCCCUCCUUGAACUUGGAUUGAUUUCUCUCAUUCUUGACCUUCCACAACCACCUUUGGGGAAUAAAAACAGCAGCAACAAUAAGCAGUAAACGUCUCCAU